rnacentral:rRNA from 1 species
UACGUAGGGGGCUAGCGUUGUCCGGAAUCAUUGGGCGUAAAGAGCGUGUAGGCGGUCCGGUAAGUCCGCUGUGAAAGUCGGGGGCUCAACCCUCGAAUGCCGGUGGAUACUGUCGGGCUAGAGUGCGGAAGAGGCGAGUGGAAUUCCUGGUGUAGCAGUGAAAUGCGCAGAUAUCAGGAGGAACACCUAUUGCGAAGGCAGCUCGCUGGGACGUAACUGACGCUGAGACGCGAAAGCGUGGGGAGCAAACAGG